GACGAACGCUGGCGGCGUGCCUAAUACAUGCAAGUCGAGCGAAUCUUUAGAAGCUUGCUUCUGAAGAUUAGCGGCGGACGGGUGAGUAACACGUGGGCAACCUGCCUGUAAGACUGGGAUAACUUCGGGAAACCGGAGCUAAUACCGGAUAAUCCAUUCCCUCACAUGAGGGAAUGCUGAAAGACGGCAUCACGCUGUCACUUACAGAUGGGCCCGCGGCGCAUUAGCUAGUUGGUGAGGUAACGGCUCACCAAGGCGACGAUGCGUAGCCGACCUGAGAGGGUGAUCGGCCACACUGGGACUGAGAAACGGCCCAGACUCCUACGGGAGGCAGCAGUAGGGAAUCUUCCGCAAUGGACGAAAGUCUGACGGAGCAACGCCGCGUGAGCGAAGAAGGCCUUCGGGUCGUAAAGCUCUGUUGUUAGGGAAGAACAAGUACCGGAGUAACUGCCGGUACCUUGACGGUACCUAACCAGAAAGCCACGGCUAACUACGUGCCAGCCGCCGCGGUAAUAC
rnacentral:rRNA from 1 species